UACAAUUAUAGUCAUAUGCAGGAUGCAUUUUGAUGAUGUAAGAAUUGAGUUAUUUUUUUUUAUAACAAACGCAUCUAUGUUUUGUUGGAAUAAUCAUGAGGUUAUAUUAUCAGGAAAACUAUCAGAUUGUUCACUUUUAGGGAAGUGCUACAAACAUCAGUACACAGCAGUACAUAGAAUAGCAACUUCAUCUUCAAGAAAUAAGAGGUUGUAAAGUACUUGUGUUACUGCCUUUAUCAUAUACUGUGAUAACAAAUGAUUGCAUACACAAAAUCAUUUAGUGGACCAUAUACGCAUUUGUAAAAAAAUAUCUCCACCAUGGUGAAAACCGAUUACAGAAAAUCCGAAAGAUGAUAGCCAAUUUUGCCAAGUAGCACGAAAAGAUGCCAUCACAAACUAAGGAUCGAGAGGCUAAAUUUAGCAUUUCAUUUGGCAACAAAUACUAUUUUUUUGUUCAUGCAAGACGUUAACUAAAAUGUAUUUAGAAAGAAUUUUAUUUUAGAAAAAAGAAAUUGGCUGGUGUUUAGCCACUUGAAAAUAUCACGAAAAAGUUUAGUAACAAACAAUCAAUACAAACAAGUGAAAUAAAAUGAGAAUAACGAGAUGAAAACACACAAAGAAAAACAAAUGUCAAUAAAAAAAAAACAAGUGUUUGUUGAAAAAGAAUAUCGAAGUAUACACUUGUUGUAACUGCAGAAAAAUUAAAUAAACCACUUUAAAAACGAUUUACAAAAACACAAAUUGAAAAAUAAAUUGCUUUUUCCCGUUUUUAUGACAUACUAUCAAAUUGGUAUGUUGUUCCUAUGGUACAUUAUAUUGCUUAAACAUGAAUAGACAUUUCAUCAUGGUAUGUUGAAUGUGUAGGGAUUGUUGACACAGUUAUAAUUUUUAAAAGAUUAUCUGAGUGUCAAGAAAAAGAUAUAUCUCAAAUAAAGAGAUUAUAAUUUCUAUUUUAUACCUAUUAACAUUUUUGAUAUAUGUCGAAAAAAUGAACUUAUAUUUAUUUGGUUAUUAAAUAUAUGAAUUAGAAAAAUAAAGAAUUCUGUAGUUCA